CAGAGUUUCAGACCCCCGUAAAGCAUCUUUAAAGCGCAUCACCAUGGGCAGCGGCCCCCAUGAUGGUGAUUAUUUUUAGAAGCUGUUCCACCUUCUUUCCACACACAGCCCUGCAUGUUCCUGCAAUUAUUUAUGUACUUGAAGGCCACUUGCACGACUAAAUCGAGGAGAAAGGACCGCAACAACACAUCCAUACUGGAACUGCAACUAAUAAUGAGAAUUCCUCUUUAGGACAUUCAGUACCUCUGAAGAUAAGUUCAAAGUGAUCUGGUCAUGAUCACAGAGUACCAGGCCAGUUUCUUUCCUCCAGGCAAAUACACCAGCUCCACCUUAAAACUGAAUAACCCUCACCAUCCAUGGGUCUGGGAUGCCAGCAUCACUUCAGUCAGAAGGAGACAUGUCCCCAGACAACAAACAAGCCCUUCUCCAAAGGCUGGAAGGCCGCCACCUAAAACUGACGUAACCUUUGCACAGAGGCUUUCACUCACCAAAGUGACCCAACCUUUGCGUGUGGACUAUACAACUGUGUACCAAAAUGAUUUUCGUGCUUGGACACCAGAAAAGUUGUUUCCACUGAAAAGUAGCGAAAGCAAUGAGAAGACAUUACCCGAGAAAAAACGCUCUUCAAUGGAUAG